rnacentral:rRNA from 1 species
AUUGAACGCUGGCGGCAUGCCUUACACAUGCAAGUCGAACGGCAGCACGGGUGCUUGCACCUGUGGCGAGUGGCGAACGGGUGAGUAAUACAUCGGAACGUACCUUAUCGUGGGGGAUAACGCAGCGAAAGCUGUGCUAAUACCGCAUACGCCCUGAGGGGGAAAGCGGUGGACCGAAAGACCUCGCGCGACUAGAGCGGCCGAUGCCUGAUUAGCUUGUUGGGGGGGUAAAAGCCCACCAAGGCGACGAUCAGUAGCGGGUCUGAGAGGACGAUCAGCCACACUGGGACUGAGACACGGCCCAGACUCCUACGGGAGGCAGCAGUGGGGAAUUUUGGACAAUGGGGGCAACCCUGAUCCAGCAAUGCCGCGUGAGUGAAGAAGGCCUUCGGGUUGUAAAGCUCUUUUGUCAGGGAAGAAACACCGGCUCUAACACAGUCCGGGAAUGACGGUACCUGAAGAAUAAGCACCGGCUAACUACGUGCCAGCAGCCGCCGUAA